rnacentral:rRNA from 1 species
CCAGCAGCUGCGGUAAUUUCGGCUCCAAUAGCGUAUAUUUAAGUUGUUGCAGUUAAAAAGCUCGUAGUUGGAUUUCGGGUGGGGUGGUGCGGUCCGCCUCUGGUGUGCACUGCUCCGCUCCACCUUCCUGCCGGGGACGGGCUCCUGGGCUUAACUGUCUGGGACUCGGAGUCGGCGAGGUUACUUUGAGUAAAUUAGAGUGUUCAAAGCAGGCCUACGCUCUGAAUACAUUAGCAUGGAAUAACAUGAUAGGACUCUGGCCUAUCUGUUGGUCUGUGGGACCGGAGUAAUGAUUAAGAGGGGUAGUCGGGGGCAUUCGUAUUCCGUUGUCAGAGGUGAAAUUCUUGGAUUUACGGAAGACGAACAUCUGCGAAAGCAUUUGCCAAGGAUACUUUCAUUGAUCAAG